CCACAAUUGCUAAAUAGAGAGGCCCAAACAAAGAAUUAAAAAGCAUGCCCCAACUAAAAGUAUGGUCCAACGAUAAUAAACAGCCCAGAUGAAAGAAAAGCCCAACCCAACCUAUUCUCUCCCCAAUUAUACCAGCUCUCUCUCUCAUUCUAAAAUUCUCAAAUCUCAAUUCUUCCCCAAAUUGAAGGGACAAAUCCCUAACUCCUUCUUCCUCUUUCUUCUUGGUGAAAUGACACUCCUCCGGUCGCCGGACCACUACCGUUCCCAGCUUCUCAUCGCCAUCAGGUUGCCGACGUCCCAUGCCCAACAGAGAUCCCCCUCCCCUUUUUUUUCGCUGUCCGCUGCAGUUCACGCCCCGCCCCCCUCCGUUACUCCUCACGGCGAGGCUCCGACAGGGAUGCGACCUUGCAGGGGCAACCGAUUCCCACGGCAGAACGUAUCCCCCACCUUCUCCGGCUUUAUUCUGAGGAUCUGAGGCCCUCCACCGCACUCACGCGGCCGAUCUCGGCGGACCGGGCUGCUGCCUGCGCUGCUCCCGCGUCAUCGGUGUCUGUCGCCUUGUGGGUCGGCCGCUGCUGCCCCGUGGAGUUCGUGCGGCGGUCUUCAGGCUGCGUCGGCGGUCCGCCCGUCGGUGGUCAGCCCGUCAAUCUCGGCCUAAGCUAACCUCCUAAUUUCAUCUCUUUAACGGUCUAAGUCUUUAAAUUCCUUAAAUUGGUCAGAUUCUAUUCUCGUAGAGUUUGUAGGGAUGAGUUCUUUGUUAUAAAGAUUCUAGAGCUUGUGAGGGGUUUGAAAACAUGGUGGCAACUGUUCUUCGCUUAAGGUUUUAUUUUUUUUGUUUCAAAACGUUGGUGUGUGAUGAUAUCGUAAUCGUUGUUCCUACUAUGUGAUGACAUGAAGCAUUAUUUGGAACUUAGGGUGAUGAGUGUUACCUGUGGUGGUAGAGAACUAAAGGAGGAAGAAAAGUCUUUGCUUGCUCAGCCUACUCUUGCCCCUUUUCCUCAAAUUUUGCACCCUCUAACUCACUCUAACAGUUGCUGGAUUUUUGAUGCGUGUGGGAGAGAAAAGAGUUUAUGCAAAAGAAGGGGUUUUUAUAGGUAAAACUUGGUGUAGUAUGUUGAAUUAAAAGGGCUGACCAUCUUUUGUAUCCAUGUCCUAACAUAUCUCAUUUUUCUGAUUAUGCAUCAUAUUUUCCUUAAUGUAGUUUGGUUCCUAGUUUGGGUACUUGGUACUUGGCUAAUAAAUUCCAUUGUUUGAUUGUCGCUGGUAGAAACAGGUGUUGCCAUAGUGUGGAGGAUUUGCAGGAUUGACUUUCCUUUCUUGGUUGGGACAAGGACUCGGCGGCCCUGCUGUCCGUGACGGGCUCGCUGCCUCUAGCCCAAUGGGUUGAUCGGAUAGGGCCACGGUGGGGAUGCGGUUUGGGCUUAGGAGAAAGAUGCCCAAAGUUUAGCAAAAGAUUUUAGUUUCUUAGUCUUUUGGCCCAUUUAUGAAUAUUUGUAAAAGAAUAGUAUAGUAUCCCACAUUCUUUUCUUUCCAUUCAUAAUUCACAUGUGAAAUGAUCAUAUAGAUUAAUGUAUUAUGUUUUUGAACACUUUUAGUUUGGGAUAAACAUCUUCGUAUUCUUUUCUCAA